CACCGGGGCUAUACACAGCAUACAGACAGAUAUCCUGGGUCUUGGAGUCAGCUGUCCAGAGGAGUCACAUUCAGCUUCAAGUUGCCCCACUGCGCCCCUCCCCUAUAUGCGAAUGAUACGGUGAUCUGCAGAACUGGCCGGCUUCAUCAUGACGUUGCACACAAGCCUGGCCCAGAGCUCGGGGAAGCUGAAGGAGGAAAUCUAGUGGAGUCUGAGUUGCACAGGUCUGGCUGGGUGGCCCAAGGAAGCAAGGUGACCAUCACGUGGAUGUCGUCAGAGGCUGGGGUAAAACUCAGAGGGUUCGAGAGGCUUCAUAGUUGGUGACUCCAGAUUAGUGCUGGCUCUGUGGGAACUGUUGUGCCAUGCUGAGGACAGAGGUGUGAUUUCAUCUUGUCUCCUCCAGGAAGCCCUCCAGCCUGUGGUCUACAUUGCAGUUGGCUUCUGAACCUCGACCUGGGCCUUGCAGGAGCCAUCCUCACUUGCUGACUGCUUCACUCCAAGGUGGAACCUGUCUGAUGCCUCUGCUCCUGGAGAGUCCCAUUGGCCCAGGGCUGAUGGGUGGAGCAGACAUCUAGCCAUGGUUUACAGGACAGUCUGGGGCAAUUAUUGUUGCCCUGGAGUCGGCCUGCACCUUGGAAGGAGUACCUACAAUGUGGAAAUCAGCAAGCGAAUCAGUUCGUGUUGACCCUCUGCCAGUGCACCACCGAUGACAGCUCAGUGCGGACCGCACUAUGUUCUGAAGGAACCGAGCCUGAUUUGGACUUUGGAAUUCUGGAACGGCAAGAGGAAGAGGUGGACUCGGCCUUGCGUGUUUCAGCGUCUCUUCUGAUGAUAAAACUGAGGCUUGCAGAAGACGAUUACUCAUAGUCUCAUGUUUACUGUGUGAUUGUAAGUCAGGUUUUCUUCCCAUCAGUUCAGUUCAAUUCAUUCAUUCAGUCAUGGCUGACUCUCUGAGAUCCCAUGGACUGCAGCACGUCAGGCUUCCCUGUCCAUCACAAAUUCUCAUGUCCAUCAGGGAAUCGUCCCGACCCAGGGAUCGAACCCAGAUCUCCUGCAUUGCAGGCAGAUUCUUUACUGACUGCACUACGAGAGAAGUCUUUUUCCCCAUAAAGGCUACUGCAUGUGGGGUCUUAGCUUCCUGACCAGGGAUUGAACCCGCACACCCUGCCCUGGAAGGUGAACUCUUAACCACUGGGCCGCCAGGGACGUCCUCACAUGUUUCCUUACGUGAAGGAGGCAGAGGGAGACUUGGCUACAGAAGAGGAGGAGGCUGUGUGGUGAUGAAAGGAGAGACUGCAAUGAUGAGAUCAUGAGCCAAGGAACGCCAAGGAAUUUUGAAACUACCAGCAGCUGGAAGGAGAAGGGAGCUGAUUCUUCCCUGGAGCCUCCAGAAAGAAUCAGCUGGCAACACCUUGAUUUUAGGUCUGGAAGACUCAUUUCAGAGUGUAUGUCUCCAGAACUAUAAGAGAAUAUAUUUCUGUUGUUUUAAGCCACUACUUUUUCUAUAGCAAUGAGAAAUGGCCACAUUGUUCCUUCUGUC
ensembl:lncRNA